ACAGUAUUCCUUCCGUUUCGAAUUACCCGUCGCAGGUAUAGAUGUAUCUAGAUGUAUUUUAGUUCUAGAUAUAUCCAUUGCUGCGACGAGUAAUUUGGAACGGAGGGAGUACUUG
rnacentral:pre_miRNA from 1 species